UAUGUAGGUGGCAAGCGUUAUCCGGAAUUAUUGGGCGUAAAGCGCUCGCAGGCGGUUUCUUAAGUCUGAUGUGAAAGCCCACGGCUCAACCGUGGAGGGUCAUUGGAAACUGGGAGACUUGAGUGCAGAAGAGGAGAGUGGAAUUCCACGUGUAGCGGUGAAAUGCGUAGAGAUGUGGAGGAACACCAGUGGCGAAGGCGACUCUCUGGUCUGUAACUGACGCUGAGGAGCGAAAGCGUGGGGAGCAAACAGG
rnacentral:rRNA from 1 species